GCUGUUGCCGCCCCUUCCCUUCCUGGAGCAACCUGUGCUUUUGAAAAAAUGACCAUGCCGAAGGGGAACUAACGCUCCCAGCCUGCAGCAGCUCUUGUCAAUCUGAUUUUUAAAUGAUGGAGGAGGUUUGAGGAUGAGGCGCAGGGUGGCGUUACCUUCUCCCUCUCUGGGACGAUGCAAAGAUCAAGGGAACAGGAGGAGAGGAUCUUCUGAAUGUGAGCACAUUCACAGCCCCAGAGGACAGAGAGGCAUUUAAAGUGAACUGGAACAAACCUGCAACAUCAGGUGCGUUCUGCCUUCAAAAAUAGCUGCCAGUUAGAAAGGGUUAUUUACAUAUUGAUUUCAUGCUAACUUUGUAAUGGAAUGUGCUGCCUGCCUGCCUGAGCGGGCUGCCUGAGACCUAACAACUGUCAUCAUAAUUUUUUCUAAAAAUACAGUCAAGAGAAAACACUCAGUGAACCCCCCACUGGAAAGUGGCUGCUGAAGACCCUGCAUCCCAAACUUACUCCCUAGACCACAGCCAAGGGCAAGGAUACUCAGCAUGCACCGCUGAGGGAACAUUUCACAGCUACAGCUGACCCUGCCUACCUCCAGCCAGCCUGCACUCCAGUUUUUUUUUUUUAAUCAUUCUAGAAAACCUGUCUUGUGCUAAGGCCUGACGGAGCUGAUUCGGUUGUGAUCUUGGGCAUAUGGAUGGCAUAUUUGCUGCGAGCUAGCCGGCCUCCACUGCUGGGGACAAAUCUUUCAUUCAUGAAGAGGAGCUUGUUAGGCCAACUCGGGGACUCUAAAGCCACUUAAUUAAAUUGUGGAAAGUC